CUUUAAUCCCAGCACUAGGGAGGCAAGGCAGGAGGAUCUCUGAGUUCGAGGCCAGGCUGAUCUACAGGGUGAGUUCCUGGACAGCCAGAGAUGUGUCCAUACACCUGCGUGUGGAGGCCAGAAGAGGGCAACAGGUCACCUGGAGCUUGAGUGAUAGAUCCCUGGGUAUUCUGUGUGUCUGUCCUAAUUGGAAAGAAGAUUUUCACCUGCCUUCUAAAGUUCUUCAGUGCAACUGUAUUUCCUUGCAAAGGAUACAUUCCCAGGUCCCCUGCAGGGUGAAGAAUUCAUUAUUACCAGGCAGGCACCAUGAGCCCAGCAGGCAGAGGAAGGCCCCAGAAGCACAGCAACUGGCAAACACUUGGAGUCCCAUGGAGUCCCAUGGAUAGUUUCUCAUCGCGGUACCCAGCAGGUUUCUGAUCUCUGAAGUCGAAAGAGUGCACACAGUUCCCAGGAGCAGGAAAUGAAGUGGGGCGAACCUUGGGUGAGGAGCCACACAUCCUGUGAUUACUUCUUUGGGGUAGCUUGUUAAGGGCGAGAUAGCACAGAACCCCACUCCAGGUAUGAGAUAAGAUUCUUUCUCAGAUAGUGCAUGGGUAGCCCAAUACACAAGGAGAGAAUUGAAGAGUGAAGGAGAAAAAGGAAGAGCUGGUCCUUAAUUUUGCCAAGGUAUAACUCCAUGCAUUAGCAAGUUAGGCUACCUGCCUUCAGCCUUAUUUUCCACAGCUGUAAAAUAGUAAUAAUACCUGCUCCAUCCAUUUG
rnacentral:lncRNA from 1 species